rnacentral:rRNA from 1 species
UGGCAGACGGGUGAGUAACGCGUGGGAAUCUACCCAUCUCUGCGGAAUAGCUCUGGGAAACUGGAAUUAAUACCGCAUACGCCCUACGGGGGAAAGAUUUAUCGGGGAUGGAUGAGCCCGCGUUGGAUUAGCUAGUUGGUGGGGUAAAGGCCUACCAAGGCGACGAUCCAUAGCUGGUCUGAGAGGAUGAUCAGCCACAUUGGGACUGAGACACGGCCCAAACUCCUACGGGAGGCAGCAGUGGGGAAUAUUGGACAAUGGGCGCAAGCCUGAUCCAGCCAUGCCGCGUGAGUGAUGAAGGCCUUAGGGUUGUAAAGCUCUUUCACCGAUGAAGAUAAUGACGGUAGUCGGAGAAGAAGCCCCGGCUAACUUCGUGCCAGCAGCCGCGGUAAUACGAAGGGGGCUAGCGUUGUUCGGAAUUACUGGGCGUAAAGCGCACGUAGGCGGAUAUUUAAUUCAGGGGUGAAAUCCCG